rnacentral:tRNA from 21 species
GUCAUGAACCCCGGUUUUUCAAACCGGGGCUUGCUGAGCGGUUCGCCGCUGAGCAGGCCCUCAUGAGCAGACUCAGUUUGGAGCUUGCUCCGAGCUCUGUUCGCGACGAAAUUAGGUACCAGUGGGUGCGAGGCCAGCCCGCUGCUCUACG